rnacentral:rRNA from 1 species
UUAACACAUGCAAGUCGUGCGAGAAAGUAUCUUCGGAUAUGAGUAGAGCGGCGGACGGGUGAGUAACGCGUAGGAAUCUACCUAGUAGAAGGGGAUAGCCCGGGGAAACUCGGAUUAAUACCGUAUACCUCCUUUGGGAGAAAGAAGGCCUCUCUUUGAAGCUUUCGCUAUUAGAUGAGCCUGCGUAAGAUUAGCUUGUUGGUGAGGUAAAGGCUCACCAAGGCUACGAUCUUUAGCUGGUCUGAGAGGACGAUCAGCCACAUUGGGACUGAGACACGGCCCAGACUCCUACGGGAGGCAGCAGUGGGGAAUAUUGGACAAUGGGCGCAAGCCUGAUCCAGCCAUACCGCGUGUGUGAAGAAGGCCUUCGGGUUGUAAAGCACUUUAAGCAGGGAGAAAAAGCUAUAGGUUAAUACCCUAUAGCCCUGAUGUUACCUGCAGAAUAAGCACCGGCUAAUUCCGUGCCAGCAGCCGCGGUAAUACGGAAGGUGCAAGCGUUAAUCGGAAUUACUGGGCGUAAAGCGCGCGUAGGUGGUUUGUUAAGUUGGAUGUGAAAGCCCUGGGCUCAACCUAGGAACUGCAUCCAAAACUAACUCACUAGAGUACGAUAGAGGGAGGUAGAAUUCAUAGUGUAGCGGUGGAAUGCGUAGAUAUUAUGAAGAAUACCAGUGGCGAAGGCGGCCUCCUGGAUCUGUACUGACACUGAGGUGCGAAAGCGUGGGUAGCGAACAGGAUUAGAUACCCUGGUAGUCCACGCCGUAAACGAUGACAACUAGCUGUUGGGAGACUAUGUCUUUCAGUGGCGCAGCUAACGCUUUAAGUUGUCCGCCUGGGGAGUACGGCC